GCCGUGGGCGCUGCUUGGCACCGACACUCAGGGCGCCGGGGCAACUGCCGGGUUCAGGGGACUGGAGCUCCUCACUGGAGUGGGGUGGUUCAACGUGUCCUUGCUGUACUAUGGUGUCUACAGCAGUAACAGUGUGCUGAGUGGAGGCCAGUCUAGUUAUAACAUCCAGCUUGCUUACCUCUUCACCAUCACCUCCUACAUGCUGCUCUGUGGAGCCUCAGUCAUAUACAGCAUGGCAGGGUGUCUCCAGACUGGUGUUGUGGCGUCAGGUGGAGCAGCCCAGAGACCUGGCUCUCUGUCUGGAAGAGGAGAUGACUACUGGAGACUGUUGUGUAGCUGGGACUUCUCUCUGCUGCACCACGCGGACAUACACACACACAGGACCAACCUGCUAGUACAUCUAAAGGAGUCUCUAAGGGAGAGCAGAGUGGAGAGAGAGCUGUCUGUGUCAGACAAGAUGAAGGCCUGUCUGGUCCGUCUGUCUGUCUGGCUUCUGUCUGUCUGUCUGGCUGCUGGGGCCUGUGUGGCUGUCUACUACCUCUGUCAACACAAC